AGCUCCAAGACUGCAAACGGUCUCACUGAUGGGAACGAGAUGGUGACUUUUAUUGAUGCCAGGGAUUGGUGUGAAAUUAAAUUAGAAAACCACGAGUAGAGAUGGAUUACUUCAGUAUUAGUUGGGUUACAGACGAGUUUAUUGUCUGAAAAGAAUGACAGAACAUCAGAAAUGCAAUGUUCGAGGUUAGCGAUGGCAGACUGUCUGCCACAAGGAUUGACAGCAAUGUAAAGGUCAGAGUCGUCAGCGUACAUCAUGAAGUCAAGACCAUGUGAUGUAAUGACGUCUUCAAGAGGGGCAAGAUACAGAAUAAAAAGUAGCGGACCAAGGACCGAUCCCUGAGGAACACCAGAUGUUACGGGUUGGGAGGCAGAUACCACUCCUAUAUCUAAUAUAUAUUAACGAUCUACCAGAUUGUAAUCUCAUGCUCUUAAAAUUAAAUGCUC